AAGAGAUGCUUGCUAAAUACUCAUAGGCCUCAGGGUUAUGGACUGAGAAAACAGCUGAUUUACCCUGAAGUUAACAAAGGCUUAAGCCCCAGGAACUCUCACUUGUACAGGCCACUUCCACCCUGAGAGGGGCUACAGGGAAGUGUUUACAUGACUAUGUUUUUGCAAACUACAUUUUCUUCUCAACUUGCUUCCCAGUCCACACAGGAUCACCAAAUUGUACAAGUUAGGAAGCAUUCACAUUAUGUUCCAGGGAUGCCAUUCACGCAGACCACAAUGUAAAGGGUGCUCCUUGGAGUUAAGCCCUGAAUGUGGGGGCCCUGAAUCUACUGCCAAAUCUUGCCCAUUCUACUUCCCAAAUAUUUCACGCCAGUUAGAAUGGUGAUCAUUAAAAAGUCAGGAAACAACAGGUGAUGGAGAGGAUGUGGAGAAAUAGGAACACUUUUACACUGUUGGUGGGACUGCAAACUAGUUUAACCAUUGUGGAAGACAGUGUGGCGAUCACUCAAGGAUCUAGAACUGGAAAUACCAUUUGACCCAGCCAUCCCAUUGCUGGGUAUAUACCCAAAGGAUUAAAAAUCAUGCUGCUAUAAAGACACAUGCACAUAUGUUUACUGCAGCACUAUUCACAAUAGCAAAGAC
rnacentral:lncRNA from 1 species